rnacentral:rRNA from 1 species
GCAGGCGCGAAACCUUUACACUGCACGACAGUGCGAUAGGGGGAUCCCAAGUGCACAGGCAUAGCGCCUGUGCUUUUCGGUACCCUAAGGCGGUACCAGAAUAAGGGCUGGGCAAGACCGGUGCCAGCCGCCGCGGUAAUACCGGCAGCCCAAGUGAUGGCCGAUCUUAUUGGGCCUAAAGCGUCCGUAGCUGGCCGUACAAGUCCAUCGGGAAAUCCACCUGCCAAMCAGGUGGGCGCCCGGUAGAAACUGUGCGGYUUGGGACCGGAAGGCGCGACGGGUACGUYCGGGGUAGGAGUGAAAUUCCGUAAUCCUGGACGGACCGCCGAUGGCGAAAGCACGUCGCGAGAACGGAUCCGACAGUGAGGGACGAAAGCCAGGGUCUCGAACCGGAUUAGAUACCCGGGUAGUCCUGGCCGUAAACAAUGUCUGCUAGGUGUGGCUCCCACUACGAGUGGGUGCUGUGCCGUAGGGAAGCCGCUAAGCAGACCGCCCGGGAAGUACGUCCGCAAGGAUGAAACUUAAAGGAAUUGGCGGGGGAGCACUACAACCGGAGGAGCCUGCGGUUUAAUUGGAGUCAACGCCGG